rnacentral:rRNA from 1 species
CUAUUUUCAAACUACAAGGUCUCCGUUGGUGAACCAGCGGAGGGAUCAUUA